rnacentral:rRNA from 1 species
GACGUAGGGCGCGAGCGUUGUCCGGAUUUAUUGGGCGUAAAGAGCUCGUAGGCGGCUUGUUGCGUCAGCUGUGAAAACCCGCAGCUCAACUGCGGGUCUGCAGUCGAUACGGGCAGGCGUAGAGUUCGGUAGGGGAGACUGGAAUUCCUGGUGUAGCGGUGAAAUGCGCAGAUAUCUGGAGGAACACCGGUGGCGAAGGCGGCAUCCUGGACCGGUAGUUGGACGCUGAUGGCGCGAAAAGCCAGGGGAGCAAACGGG